GAUUAUGGCUCAGGAUGAACGCUAGCUACAGGCUUAACACAUGCAAGGUCGAGGGGCAGCAUAGAAGUAGCAAUACGUUUGGUGGCGACCGGCGCACGGGUGAGUAACGCGUAUGCAACCUACCUAUCAGAGGGGAAUAACCCGGCGAAAGUCGGACUAAUACCGCAUAAAACAGGGGCACCGCAUGGUGAUAUUUGUUAAAGAAAUUCGCUGAUAGAUGGGCAUGCGUUCCAUUAGGUAGUUGGUGAGGUAACGGCUCACCAAGCCGACGAUGGAUAGGGGAACUGAGAGGUUGGUCCCCCACACUGGUACUGAGACACGGACCAGACUCCUACGGGAGGCAGCAGUGAGGAAUAUUGGUCAAUGGGCGGGAGCCUGAACCAGCCAAGUCGCGUGAAGGAAGAAGGAUCUAUGGUUCGUAAACUUCUUUUGCAGGGGAAUAAAGUGCAGGACGUGUCCUGUUUUGUAUGUACCCUGAGAAUAAGGAUCGGCUAACUCCGUGCCAGCCGCUGC
rnacentral:rRNA from 1 species